rnacentral:rRNA from 1 species
UACGUAGGGUGCAAGCGUUAAUCGGAAUUACUGGGCGUAAAGCGUGCGCAGGCGGUUUUGUAAGUCUGUCGUGAAAUCCCCGGGCUCAACCUGGGAAUUGCGAUGGAGACUGCAAGGCUAGAAUCUGGCAGAGGGGGGUGAGAAUUCCACGUGUGAGCAGUGAAAUGCGUAGAGAUGUGGAGGAACACCGAUGGCGAAGGCAGCCCCUGGGUCAAGAUUGACGCU